rnacentral:lncRNA from 1 species
UUAACUCCCGCGCGUCAAGAGCUAAGCGCUUUGCAAACUUAUACAUAAACUCAUUAUCAAUCAUAACUAUAUCAAAUAUAGAACUAGAGCAAACUAAGAUCAUAAUAAAUAGAGACAUAAUGCAAGUAGAAUAAAGUAGUAGAGAAAGAUACGAAAUAAUACCAAUCUUUAUUAACGAAGAUCCGAAUCGUGAGCGCUACGCUCUACUUCUCUAAUUCUAUCUAAUCAAUCCUCUAAACUUGAAGGAUUAGGGAGUAGCUA